UUUCUCAUUUGUCCUUGCAAUAAAAAUGUCCCAGAAGACAGACCACCAUUCAAAAAGAAACCCUCCAGGAGCAUCAAUUGCUACUGGAUCUGGGGCUACUUUCCCUUCAUUCAUAAAGGACUUUGCAGUGGCAUGCAGUUUCUUCUUCACCAAAUAAUCGUAUAUGUACACAUCAAGCAUUUUAUCUGCUUCCCAGUUGCUCUGCGCCAUGUUUUCAGCUCAAAAACGCAAAUCAAAGCUGCUUAAAAACCUUUAACCUUGAUAAUUUAGAUGGAUCAAAAAGCCUGCAUUACCAAUCUUGGACUCCUGCAACAGCGAUCUCCAUUGAUCAAAGCGUUGUCUCCAUGCUUUGGCGAUUUGCAACGAGUAAAAUUGGGGCUUCACGAUUAUUGGGCUAGAAGGAAGUAUAUUAACACAGGAGCUAGGGGGGAGAAGAGUUAGAGCUGGAUCCGAAGCUGAGGUUUGAAAACCAGAGCUGAAG
rnacentral:misc_RNA from 1 species